UCCAAGAUCAAGAUGCUGGUGGACUUAAGUGUCUGGUGAGAACCCUGUUCCUCAUUGUGGAUGGCCACCUCUUGCUAUGUCCUCACAUAGCAGAGAGGGGCUCUGGUCUUUUUCCUCUUCUUACAAAGGUGUAUCUGUUUCCCCACUUCAGGGUCCAGGCUUCAGUUAUAAUUAUAUUCUCAUGUGCUCCCUACCACUGUGGAGGAACCCCUCUUCCUGCCGACUCUGCAGAGCCUUCUGUCUUUUGUAGCGGCUGCAGUAGAAGGCAGGGAAGUGCCCUUUCCUGGACUGAGCAGAGGAUCCUGUUCUACUGUCUUCUGGUACCUAAAUGGUGACUGUGUCUGGUAUAUCAGAGAUGCAUGUGCAUGACUGAGAGCUGAAUCUUGCUGGAAAUUGUGGCUAUAAUUUAACAUGUAAGACCUUCUACAGGGAAGAUAAUGGAGAAAAAUUUCUCUAUCAGCUGAGACAGCCUGGCAAGGGCACUUUGACAGGCAUUACAGAUGAUAUCACAGUGAAUGACACACACAAACACUUCUCUUGAGAAGCCUGGAGGGAAAAACACAGAUGCAACUAACAAUGGAGAAAACAUGGGAGCUACAGGAAAGGUUCAAAACAACACGUGGGACUUGUGGCUGCCGCUGUUUUAGUUGUAAGAAGCUUAGGACUCAAUGCCCAAGAACCAUAU